ensembl:lncRNA
AGCCUAGGCCUGCUCCUGGUUUCUCUCACUGCUGAUCACCAUAGAAAAAUAGGAGAUGAUACAAUUACUAAAUCACAAGCGAUGUCUGCAAUAAUUGAACACCACAACCAACCAACUGAAGAUUGCACUAAUGGUUCCUUUUGCAAAGCUGCUGGAAUUCCACUGUCUGAAGAGUAUGUCGUGGGAAAGCUACACUUCAGUGGCUGCCAGCCUGCUCAAAAUUCAAAAUCCCAGCUCAGUCAACUUAACCUGACAGUCUAUGGAGAUCAAAGUUCCCUCGUAACUCAGUAAUGGCCUCUGAGUGGUCACAGUUUACCUGUGAGAACUGAAAAAAAGAACUUGCAUUUUAGGGAUCCAUGCAUGCUCGUCGCCAGGCCAAGCUUUCAGAAUGACCCUCUAGGCAUUCUGCCUCAGCUGAAGCUGUUGUCUGCAGCCGGCUGCGGAAAGCGAGUUUUCACAGCAGCUGGCCACUGCGACUGAUCAUUCGUCUUCCUCAGAUCAAAGUCCCCUUUCCAGACACGCCUGAGCAGGUGUUCUGUCUGGA